AAAUUCUGGGGUUCCUGAUACCUGGACCAUGGUUUAAAAGGAGGGGUAUAGGCUCUAGGUGGGCAUGUCUUCUUGGCUCCUUGGGCCCCUCACCCCAUGGCUGGAGAAGGACCAGAAUGAGUGCCUCUAAAUUAUGGAGAUCGAAGGUUGCCGUAUACAAAGUGACCGGAGCAGAGUGACAUGAGACAGAAUGACCCACGAUCUCUGAGUAGGAAGGCAACUUAAAUGGAUGAAGAUAAAAUGAAUGGAUCCAUGACACUCAAUGGGCAUUCUUACGAUCCUUAAAUAUGAUACAUGGCGAUAAUUUUACAAGCCAAGAUAGCAAAAGCGGAGCUGACAUUUAAUUGACACCGCCAAAGCAUGGCUUGAUGAGCAGUGUGUAGGUCUGCCCCCGGGAUCUGAACCCACAAACCCUGGGCAGCUGAAGUGGAGUGUCCUAACCUAACCACUACGCCACUGGGCUGGCCCCAGAAGUUUUUAAUUAAGAGGGAUUCAGUAAGGAAGACAAGUAAAGGUUUAGAAGUCAGGUAAUUAUUUUCCUUUACCCUUAUUUUGCUUUAUACUCAGAUGACAUGAUCUUUUAGAAGGCAAGGCAAACAUCUACACACAUAUAUAUCUUUUUUUAUAAUUAUAAGAAAUGCACUGGCACAGACUGUUGUUUCUUAACGAGACCCUCAAGCCUAUGAGUCCUUCCUACUGAUGUAAUUUCUGACCCUUCCAUAAUUGUAAUGACUCACAGUCCUGAAACCCACUGAGUGAGUGGGGCUAUUGAUUUUAUGGUGAUCUAUACCAAAGUAAAGAUUUAUAAGUGUGUGGAUCUUGACGACUGUGCUACUUAAAAAGACCUGAAACAAGUGAAACACUGGUGAGCUGAAAUAGGUUUGCUGUAAAGAUUUGAAUCCAUGAGGACAGGACAACAUCCUCCCCACAACAAGGAAGUCUUUGGUUAAAGUGGUGAAAUGAGCACAGCAUCAAGCUAUCCCCUCCCAAAUUGUCAUAGAGUGACACAUAGACCACGUCAAAAAGGAAA
rnacentral:lncRNA from 1 species